rnacentral:rRNA from 1 species
AACGAACGCUGGCGGCAUGCCUAACACAUGCAAGUCGAACGCGUGGCUUCGGCCACGAGUGGCGCACGGGUGAGUAACGCGUGGGAACCUGCCCAUCGGUACGGAACAACCGCGGGAAACUGCGGCUGAUACCGUAUAUACCCUACGGGGAAGAUUUAUCGCCGAUGGAGGGGCCCGCGUCGGAUUAGGUAGUUGGUGGGUAACGGCCUACAAGCCUGCGAUCCGUAGCUGGUCUGAGAGGAUGAUCAGCCACACUGGGACUGAGACACGGCCCAGACUCCUACGGGAGGCAGCA